UACAGAGGGUGCGAGCGUUAAUCGGAAUUACUGGGCGUAAAGCGCGCGUAGGCGGCUUUGCAAGUCGAGUGUGAAAUCCCCAGGCUUAACCUGGGAACUGCAUUCGAGACUGCAUGGCUAGAGUAUGGGAGAGGGAAGUGGAAUUUCAGGUGUAGCGGUGAAAUGCGUAGAUAUCUGAAGGAACAUCAGUGGCGAAAGCGACUUCCUGGACCAAUACUGACGCUCAUGUGCGAAAAGCGUGGGGAGCAAACAGG
rnacentral:rRNA from 1 species